rnacentral:rRNA from 1 species
ACACCGGCAGCUCAAGUGGUAGCCGCUUUUAUUGGGCCUAAAGCGUCCGUAGCCGGUCUGAUAAGUCUCUGGUGAAAUCCCACAGCUUAACUGUGGGAAUUGCUGGAGAUACUAUCAUGACUCGAGGUCGGGAGAGGCUGGAGGUACUCCCAGGGUAGGGGUGAAAUCCUGUAAUCCUGGGAGGACCACCUGUGGCGAAGGCGUCCAGCUGGAACGAACCUGACGGUGAGGGACGAAAGCCAGGGGCGCGAACCGGAUUAGAUGCCCGGGUAGUCCUGGCCGUAAACGAUGUGGACUUGGUGUUGGGAUGGCUUCGAGCUGCCCCAGUGCCGAAGGGAAGCUGUUAAGUCCACCGCCUGGGAAGUACGGCCGCAAGGCUGAAACUUAAAGGAAUUGACGGGG